GCCUGCAACUGUGCAUGUUUGUUAUUGUCUGCCUGCAACCGUGCGUGUGUGUGAGACAGUCACACACACACACACACACACUUGCAGACAGACAAUGACAAACACACACA